ACGGAGGGUGCGAGCGUUAAUCGGAAUUACUGGGCGUAAAGCGCACGCAGGCGGUUUGUUAAGCUAGAUGUGAAAGCCCCGGGCUCAACCUGGGAUGGUCAUUUAGAACUGGCAGACUAGAGUCUUGGAGAGGGGAGUGGAAUUCCAGGUGUAGCGGUGAAAUGCGUAGAUAUCUGGAGGAACAUCAGUGGCGAAGGCGACUCCCUGGCCAAAGACUGACGCUCAUGUGCGAAAGUGUGGGUAGCGAACAGG
rnacentral:rRNA from 1 species